CCUACGGGGGCAGCAGUGGGGAAUAUUGGACAAUGGGGGCAACCCUGAUCCAGCCAUGCCGCGUGUGUGAAGAAGGCCCUCGGGUUGUAAAGCACUUUCAGUGAGGAAGAACGCCUGGUGGUUAAUACCCAUCAGGAAAGACAUCACUCACAGAAGAAGCACCGGCUAACUCCGUGCCAGCAGCCGCGGUAAUACGGAGGGUGCGAGCGUUAAUCGGAAUUACUGGGCGUAAAGCGCGCGUAGGUGGCUUGAUAAGCCGGUUGUGAAAGCCCCGGGCUCAACCUGGGAACGGCAUCCGGAACUGUCAAGCUAGAGUGCAGGAGAGGAAGGUAGAAUUCCCGGUGUAGCGGUGAAAUGCGUAGAGAUCGGGAGGAAUACCAGUGGCGAAGGCGGCCUUCUGGACUGACACUGACACUGAGGUGCGAAAGCGUGGGUAGCAAACAGGAUUAGAUACCCCGGUAGUC
rnacentral:rRNA from 1 species